CCCUGUAGGCACGGGAGUCCCGGGUAACCAGCGGGACUGAGAGUGGGCACCUUGGACCUGCCCUGACCGUCACACCUGAUCCGGGUCAUGCCGGCGAAGGGAGCAAGGAUGUCAGCACC
rnacentral:ncRNA from 1 species